rnacentral:rRNA from 1 species
ACCGCAUACGAUCUAAGGAUGAAAGCAGGGGACCUUCGGGCCUUGUGCUCCUGGAGCGGCCGAUAUCUGAUUAGCUAGUUGGUGAGGUAAAGGCUCACCAAGGCAUCGAUCAGUAGCUGGUCUGAGAGGACGACCAGCCACACUGGAACUGAGACACGGUCCAGACUCCUACGGGAGGCAGCAGUGGGGAAUUUUGGACAAUGGGCGAAAGCCUGAUCCAGCCAUGCCGCGUGUCUGAAGAAGGCCUUCGGGUUGUAAAGGACUUUUGUCAGGGAGGAAAUCCCUAGCGUUAAUACCGCUGGGGGAUGACAGUACCUGAAGAAUAAGCACCGGCUAACUACGUGCCAGCAGCCGCGGUAAUACGUAGGGUGCGAGCGUUAAUCGGAAUUACUGGGCGUAAAGCGUGCGCAGGCGGUUUGAUAAGCCAGAUGUGAAAUCCCCGAGCUCAACUUGGGAACUGCGUUUGGAACUGUCAGACUAGAGUGCGUCAGAGGGGGGUGGAAUUCCGCGUGUAGCAGUGAAAUGCGUAGAGAUGCGGAGGAACACCGAUGGCGAAGGCAGCCCCCUGGGAUGACACUGACGCUCAUGCA